rnacentral:rRNA from 1 species
AAGGCGACGAUGCGUAGCCGGUCUGAGAGGAUGAUCGGCCACACUGGAACUGAGACACGGUCCAGACUCCUACGGGAGGCAGCAGUAGGGAAUCUUGCGCAAUGGAGGAAACUCUGACGCAGCGAUACCGCGUGAGUGAGGAAGGUCUUCGGAUUGUAAAGCUCUGUCGUGAGGGAAAAAUGGUUACACAGGUAAUAUUUGUGUAAAUUGAUGGUACCUCAGAAGGAAGACACCGGCUAACUUCGUGCCAGCAGCCGCGGUAAUACGAAGGGUGCAAGCGUUGUUCGGAUUUAUUGGGCGUAAAGCGCGCGCAGGCGGGUUUUUAAGUCAGAUGUGAAAUCUCGGAGCUCAACUCCGAACGUGCGUCUGAAACUGAAAAUCUAGAAUACUGGAGGGGACAGAGGAAUUUCACAUGUAGGGGUAAAAUCCGUAGAGAUGUGAAGGAACACCAGAGGCGAAGGCGUCUGUCUGGCCAGCCAUUGACGCUGAGGCGCGAAAGCGUGGGGAGC